CAAGGAAUUUUCCGCAAUGGGCGAAAGCCUGACGGAGCAACGCCGCGUGCAGGAUGACGCAUUUCGGUGUGUAAACUGCUGUUCGGGGGGACGAAGCACUGACGGUACCCCCGGAGGAAGGCCCGGCUAACUACGUGCCAGCAGCCGCGGUAAUACGUAGGGGCCAAGCGUUGUCCGGAGUUACUGGGCGUAAAGCGUGCGCAGGCGGCUCGUUGCGCCCGACGUGAAAGCCCCCGGCUCAACCGGGGAGGGUCGUCGGGGACGGGCGAGCUUGAGGGUGUCAGGGGCUGGUGGAACUCCCGGUGUAGUGGUGAAAUGCGUAGAGAUCGGGAAGAACACCCGUGGCGAAGGCGGCCAGCUGGGACACACCUGACGCUGAGGCACGAAGGCGUGGGGAGCGAACGGG
rnacentral:rRNA from 1 species